UGAGUUAAAGUUUGGAGCCCCUCCCAAAUCUGAUACCUCAUUCCAUAUUCCUUCUGUGAGCCCAACUAAUCUUGCUCAUUCCCCCAAAUAUACAUAAUGGGCCUCUUGAUUUUUAAAAUAUUUUGCACCAAUCGGCCCAAGCCGAAUAUGAAAGCCGACAACACACUAGGGUUUUCUCCGUCCACUAUAAAUGCUCGCAAAGCUCUAAACUCCAAACCUUCUCACGCCACUGUGUCCCCUUCCGUCCUCCGCAGCUUUCAAGACUAGGGUUUGGGAGCGAACGUCGUUUUACCGCCACCAUGAGGGCCAAGUGGAAGAAGAAGCGCAUGAGGAGGUUGAAGAGGAAGCGCCGGAAGAUGAGACAGAGAUCCAAGUAGUUUGCUCGUUCGCUGUCACCGAUCAUCAAUCGACGUCGAUUCGCCUCCGUCUCCAUGUUUUGUUUUCUAAUCAAGUAAUCAGUACCCAUUAGUCAGCUUGUAAUUGUUUUGUACUCUUUGUGCUAUCGUUUGGAACAAGUUUUGCUUUAAUCAAUUCAGUCAGAUCAUUUACCUUA